rnacentral:rRNA from 1 species
AUUGAACGCUGGCGGAAUGCUUUACACAUGCAAGUCGAGCGGCAGCGCGGGGGCAACCCUGGCGGCGAGCGGCGAACGGGUGAGUAACACAUCGGAACGUACCCAGUUGUGGGGGAUAGCCCGGCGAAAGCCGGAUUAAUACCGCAUACGACCUGAGGGUGAAAGGGGGGGAUCGCAAGACCUCUCGCAGCUGGAGCGGCCGAUGGCGGAUUAGCUAGUUGGUGAGGUAAAGGCUCACCAAGGCGACGAUCCGUAGCUGGUCUGAGAGGACGACCAGCCACACUGGAACUGAGACACGGUCCAGACUCAUACGGGAGGCAGCAGUGGGGAAUUUUGGACAAUGGGGGCAACCCUGAUCCAGCCAUUCCGCGUGAGUGAAGAAGGCCUUCGGGUUGUAAAGCUCUUUCGGCAGGAACGAAACGGUGUGGGCUAAUAUCCCAUAUCAAUGACGGUACCUGAAGAAGAAGCACCGGCUAACUACGUGCCAGCAGCCGCGGUAAAAC